rnacentral:lncRNA from 1 species
GGAUAUUCCGACUCCUUAAGGGCCUGGCGCACAUAAGGUGUGACCUUUUCAUUCCCGUUGUUAUGGAGGGCCACAUCUGCCAGAGCCUGGAGUCUGCGAAGGCCGGGACCCGGUUCCCCGGCCCACAGUGGGGGUGUGCAAACCCGAGAGAACUGGUCGCUGAAACCUCUACAACUUAGUUGACCGUAACUGCCAGAGCCCUGCCCUGAAUUCCUGUCCUUACUCCCUCUUUAAGAUUGCGUACCCACUGCAGAGUGCUGAAGACGGGGUAGCCACGAGGUUGCAAAUUCGUGAAGAAUCAGCAUCAUGUUUGGCAGCUGAGUAUUGGAGCCAGGAGCCUGCCAUGAGGUUUUGAGAACAGAGUGCUGUUUUAGAGCUGGCAGCAGCAUCUCAGCCCAAGAGAAGGUUAUAUUCCCAGAGGAUGUCAGUCCCAAGGACCAGUAGCUGCCAUCAGUUUGGAUUCUGAAAACUAACUGGCAUCAACACUGGGUGUAGAAACAUGCUUGCCUUAUGUAUCAGAGGACAUGCUCAGCAGAUCCAAGAGAUAUAUUUGGCAACUUUUUCUAGAAAAGGCACAUUGGGUAUCAUUCAUUACAUUCUUGAGUUUUUUUGGGUUUUUUUUUUUUUUUUUGAGACAGUCUUGCUGUAUUGCCCAGGCUGGAGUGUGGUGGCACAAUCACAGCUCAUUGCAUCCUCAAUCACCCAGGCCUAAGCAAUCCUCCCACCUUGUAGCUGGGACUACAGCUCACAGCACACCUGGCUAAAAUUUUUUUUUUGUUGAGACGGAUUCUCUAUGUUGCCCAGGCUGGUCUCAGGCUCCUGGGCUCAGAUGGUCCUCCUGCCUCAGCUUCCAAAGGCACAGGCCAAGUUGUAGCUUUGUCCCUUGCCAUCAUGCCCAACAAGAGGUUCUAUACCUUUUAAUGAAUUGACUUUCAUAAAUUGGUUAUGUUGGUGGGCAAAGUUCUUUAAGCUGGAAAUUGUAAAUUCCUCCUGAAAUGUUUUUUCAUGCAGUUACCAUGAACUAAUACUACAAUAAAGGAUGGUCUUGGGUGUCAAUUCUUGAAAA